rnacentral:rRNA from 1 species
AGAUUAAGUUAUUAAGGGCGCACGGUGGAUGCCUUGGCACUAGAAGCCGAUGAAGGACGUUACUAACA